rnacentral:rRNA from 1 species
AAACCGACACAGGUGGUCGGGUAGAGAAUACCAAGGCGCUUGAGAGAACUCGGCUGAAGGAACUAGGCAAAAUGGUACCGUAACUUCGGGAGAAGGUACGCUCCUGUUGGUGACGAGACUUGCUCUCAGAGCUGACGGGAGUCGCAGAUACCAGGUGGCUGCAACUGUUUAUCAAAAACACAGCACUGUGCAAAAUCGCAAGAUGACGUAUACGGUGUGACGCCUGCCCGGUGCCGGAAGG